rnacentral:rRNA from 1 species
CCUACGGGAGGCAGCAGUGAGGAAUAUUGGUCAAUGGACGCAAGUCUGAACCAGCCAUGCCGCGUGCAGGAAGACGGCUCUAUGAGUUGUAAACUGCUUUUGUACGAGGGUAAACGCAGAUACGCGUAUCUGUCUGCAAGUAUCGUACGAAUAAGGAUCGGCUAACUCCGUGCCAGCAGCCGCGGGAAUACGGAGGAUUCAAGCGUUAUCCGGAUUUAUUGGGUUUAAAGGGUGCGUAGGCGGUCGGAUAAGUUAGAGGUGAAAUCCCGAGGCUCAACUUCGGAAUUGCCUCUGAUACUGUUCGGCUAGAGAGUAGUUGCGGUAGGCGGAAUGUAUGGUGUAGCGGUGAAAUGCUUAGAGAUCAUACAGAACACCGAUUGCGAAGGCAGCUUACCAAGCUACUUCUGACGUUGAGGCACGAAAGCGUGAGGAGCAAACAGGAUUAGAUACCCUUGUAGUC